rnacentral:tRNA from 1 species
GGGCCCUUAGCUUAGUCCGGCUCAAAGCGAUCCGCUCAUAACGGAUUGAGCGCUGGUUCAAAUCCGGCAGGGCCCA